UACGUAGGGGGCUAGCGUUGUCCGGAAUCAUUGGGCGUAAAGCGCGUGUAGGCGGUCCGGUAAGUCCGCUGUGAAAGUCGGGGGCUCAACCCUCGAAUGCCGGUGGAUACUGUCGGGCUAGAGUGCGGAAGAGGCGAGUGGAAUUCCUGGUGUAGCGGUGAAAUGCGCAGAUAUCAGGAGGAACACCGAUUGCGAAGGCAGCUCGCUGGGACGUCACUGACACUGAGACGCGAAAGCGUGGGGAGCAAACAGG
rnacentral:rRNA from 1 species